GAGUUUGAUCGUGGCUCAGGAUGAACGCUAGCGGCAGGCUUAACACAUGCAAGUCGAGGGGCAGCGCGGGUAGCAAUACCUGGCGGCGACCGGCAAACGGGUGCGGAACACGUACUGAACUUACCUUGAUCUGGGGCAUAGCCCGGAGAAAUCCGGAUUAACUCCCCAUAACAUAUAUGAGUGGCACCACUUGAAUAUUAAAAAUUUAUUGGAUCGAGAUGGCAGUGCGUCCCAUUAGCUAGUUGGUAGGGUAACGGCCUACCAAGGCGACGAUGGGUAGCUGGUGUGAGAGCACGACCAGCCACACGGGCACUGAGACACGGGCCCGACUCCUACGGGAGGCAGCAGUGAGGAAUAUUGGUCAAUGGACGCAAGUCUGAACCAGCCAUGCCGCGUGAAGGAUGAAGGCCUUCUGGGUUGUAAACUUCUUUUACCUGGGAAGAACCUCAGUUUUCUAACUGAGUUGACGGUACCAGAGGAAUAAGCACCGGCUAACUCCGUGCCAGCCGCCGCCGUAAU
rnacentral:rRNA from 1 species